rnacentral:lncRNA from 1 species
AGAUUUCUUUCCUAGGGUUUCUAUCUCCUGCGUUGUCUCACUUUGGGUUUUCUUUAUUGUUUCUACUUCCCUUUUUAGGUCUUGUAUGGUUUUGUUCAAUUCCAUCACCUGUUUGGUUGUGUUUUCCUGUUUUUCUAUAAGGUCUUCUACCUGUUUAGCAGUGUUCUCCUGUAUUUCUUUAAGUAUGUUAUUAAAGUCCUUCUUGAUGUCCUCUACCAUCAUCAUGAGAUAUGCUUUUAAAUCUGAGUCUAUCUUUACGGGUGGAUUGGGGUAUCCAGGACUGGCUGAGGUGGGAGUGUUGGGUUCUGAUGAUGGUGAGUGGUCUUGGUUUUUGUUAGUAAGAUUCUUAAGUUUGCCUUUUCCCAUCUAGUAAUCUCUGGAGUUUGUUGUUAUCGUUGUCUCUGGUUGAAGCUUGUUCCUCCCGUGAUUCUGUUAGCCUCUGUCAGCAGACCUGGGAGACUAGCUCUCUCCUGAGUUUCAGUGGUCAGAGUACUCUCUGCAGGCAAGCUCUUCUCUUGCAGGGAAAGUGCACAGAUAUCUGGUGCUCGGACCUACCUCCUGGCUGAAGAUGAAGGCCCGAAACAGAUGUAGUCCGCACUCUCACCUGUACAGACUACUCUCUGAGAGAUCCAGGACCAGAGAUGGCUCCCCCAGGUGCUCCGGCAAAGUCCUCCCGGGAGUUUCACUUUGAUGUGUCAAAGGAAAUGCCAGGAACUCCAGGCGAGAGUCAUCACCACGUGAACACAGGAUCAACAGCAGGUGUGGCUGGAGCCUUGGAAUCGUGAUCCGGUUUUAAGGAUAAAAAGGAUGAAUGUUUCAAAUGCUUCAGCGUUUGAAAGUCUACAUUGCCAGGCGUCCAUGAAUAGGAGCUGGACACUUCAGAGCUGCGUCAGAGAGAGGCUGUUGAUCAUGAUUAAGAAGCUGAAGGGAACACUGCCUUCUCUGCCCUGCUUGCGUGAAGCAGGUGGGAAGCAGAUGUACUUCCUGAACACCUGGAAGGGCUGGCAGCUGCUCUUGAGCUUGAACAUUGAGCAAUCACCUUCCCUUUUAGAACCUUGCAAAUUAAGUUCUGUAAACAGAUGGCCUGGCUAUGGCCAGGUGUCUGCGGUAGAGAUGAUAAUAGUAAACCCUACAGAUUUGUUGUUUCUAUAUCCUCCACACCACGGCCUCAAUGAAUCUCAAUCUCACGGUG